rnacentral:lncRNA from 1 species
CAGACUUUUUCUGUGACUAUAAAACACCUAAUCUGAUCCUGUGUUGAGAGAAUCACAUGUUUCAAGGCCUUUCAUAUUUUUGUUAGAUGCAAGUGUCUUUUCAAAACUUUCUUCACAGCCUCUUUUACUUCCUUAUUCCUCAGGCUAUAGAUGAUGGGAUUCAACAUUGGGGUUAUCACUCCAUAGGACAGUCCAAUGAUUUCAUCAGAUACUUUGGUGUUCUUUGACUUGGGUUUCAUGUACAUAAAAAGGGCUGACCCAUAGAAUAAGAUCACCACAGUCAGGUGGGCUGAACAGGUAGAAAAGGCUUUUUUUCUCCCCUCAGCAGAAUUAAUUCUUAGGAUGGAAGAGAGAAUGAAAAUAUAGGAUACAAAAAUUAACAGUAGAGGAAUCACCAAUAAAAUAAUACUUCCUACUGCCAUAAUAAGCACAUUCAUUGAUAUAUCUGAGCACACAAGUUUUAGAAGAGCCAGGAUCUCACAGGUGAGAUGAUCAAUAACAUUGUUACCACAGAAAGGCAACACCAUUGCCAUGGCUGUUUGCACUAAGGAGGUCAUGUAGCCUAUAGUCCAGGACCACGCAGCCAAGUGUAUAUAUAACACCUUGUUCAUGAUGAUGGGGUACCUCAGUGGGUUGCAGAUGGCUACAUACCUGUCAUAGGCCAUCACAGCCAGGAGGAUACAUUCUGUGGAGCCCAAGCCAAGGGAGAUAACCAUCUGCAGAGCACAUCCAAGAAAGGAGAUGGAUUUUCUCUCUGACAUAAAUAUAAUAAGCAUUGGGGGAAUAGUUGAUGAUGUGUAACAGAUGUCUAAGAAUGAAAGAUUUCCAAGAAAGAAGUACAUAGGGGUAUGGAGGCGAGGAUCCAGGAUGCUGAUGAUAAUGAGGAGACUGUUUCCUAGUAGGAUUAUCUUGUACAUGAUGAGGCAGAGCACAAAGAGAAAAUUCUGGAGUUCUGGGUAUUGAGAAAGCCCCACUAGGAGGAAUUCAGUCACUGCAGAAUAAUUUCCCAUCUUCAUGUGUCCUUGUCAUCUACAAAGUUCAUAUGAGGACAUGACUUGGGGAAUUCUGAAUUUUUGUUGUAUUAUAUCUAUUCAUUUCUCUUCAAUUAUUAUUAUUUUUUAAAUUUUUAGAACAUGUCCUGGAAUCAGUAACAGCAGGGAUAGUGUAUUAAUUUUGCUAAUGAAGAAAGAGGCACUGAAAGAUAGGUAAUACUACCUAGCAUCAAACAGCGGCA